rnacentral:lncRNA from 1 species
GGCAGACAGGCGGAUCCUGCAGGCCCUCCUCGAGAAGGAGGACGAGAGCCAGCGCCUCCACCUGGCCAGGCGGGAGCAGGUCAUGGCCGAUGUGGCCUGGAUGAAGCAGGCCAUUGAGGAGCAGCUGCAGCUGGAGCGGGCGCGGGAGGCAGAGCUGCAGAUGCUGCUGAGGGAGGAGGCCAAGGAGAUGUGGGAAAAGAGAGAGGCAGAGUGGGCCCGAGAGCGCAGCGCACGGGACAGACUGAUGAGCGAGGUUCUGACAGGGAGACAACAGCAAAUACAAGAGAAGAUUGAGCAGAACCGACGGGCACAAGAGGAAUCCCUGAAACACAGGGAGCAACUUAUUCGAAAUCUUGAGGAGGUGAGAGAGUUGGCUCGUCGCGAGAAAGAGGAGAGUGAAAAGCUGAAAUCGGCCAGGAAGCAGGAGCUGGAAGCCCAGGUUGCAGAGCGCCGGCUGCAGGCAUGGGAAGCAGACCAGCAGGAGGAGGAGGAAGAGGAGGAGGCCCGGCGGGUCGAGCAGCUCUCAGAUGCCCUGCUGCAGCAGGAGGCGGAGACUAUGGCUGAGCAGGGCUACCGGCCUAAGUGUCUUUGUUCCCGGACCUGUCUGCACAGCACCAUGGGGAGCACAGAGAAGCAAAUGCUGCCUUCCCUGCCCUGAGGAAGCUGAUGACUGAAGCACCUCCACUGCUGGCUUGUCCCCUCUGCCCUCCUUUACCUAGGGCCACCCUGGCCACCCGGUGCCUAGAGUGCAUUCCCCAGGACACAUGCUGCAGAAUGAGGGCUGGCUCCCUUGUGGUCAGAUGACACUGGGAAACUGAGUGAAACAUAAUUAGAGCAGGUGCUGCGUUUGCCAUAGGCCACUCGCCCUCAAACACUGACUGUCACAGUCACAGGGAACAGCAUUUCCUAAACCCACUUGGCCGUGGAUCAGUGAGAGUGUCAGGGUCAGGGUUUCACAGAUCAUAUGUGAAAGUGUUUCUUAGGGCUAGUACUCAAAACCAAAAAGAUAUCAAGUGCCUCAUUUAUGGCUUAGGGUCAGAUUUUUUCAGCUGGAAAUGAAACAGCCAUUUAUAUUGUUCUUUUAGCUUGUAGUUAAAACAAGGUUAAUUCCUCAUGCUGCAGAUACUGCUGAUCUGAUCACUCUUAUGUUUUCUUUCUUUUCUCAGCCUUACGGACAUCCAAAAAUUGCUUGGAACUGACUUCAUGGGUACCAUAAGUACAGAGAACAAGGGAUGCUGAGGCUUCUGAUCCCAGCCGCCAGGCAGUUUUACAGGGCUCUGUUAACAGUAAGUGCCCGGGGCACUGUCAGAUGGCUCAGCAGUGCCUGCUCAGGUUCAUCAUUGAAACAUCCCAGUGUUUGGCCAGACAUUAAGGUGUCGUGAGAGUCCCUUUCAUGCCUUUCUUACCCAAGCAAGGGUCUUUGAUGGGCACGUGUUUACAGCGCUGCUGCAUAGUCUUGUAAUAUAUUAACAGUCACAUCAACUGAAGGUCAAUACUAAGAGCCACAGGUUGUACCUGUGAUGGGGCGUGUGGUUUCCUGUUGUCUCACCUUUAAUUGUCAACCUCCAGUGUUGACUCUAGAAAUAUGAGGAAAGCUUUUCAGUUUUUAAAAUUGCCAUUUAAAUUUAGUCUAUUAAAAACAAACCUAGAGGUCUUGGUGCAGUUGAUUUCAGAGUUUAUUAAUUUAGUGGUCC